GCCACUGGCAUCAUGUCUUGGAAGCCUUCCCUCUGCCUGGCUCCAACAGAUUGAUUACCUAUUUGGACAGUCUGCUAUGCUUUGGACAAUCACUGCAACAUGUGCAGCUUCUUAAAUUACCCUCCACGGCACCCGUGACCAGCUACUAGCAUGGGCUGGGAAGAGGAACUUCAAAUGAGAUAAACGCUUCAUCAGAUUUUCUACAGACAUGCUACAAGGCACUUUCUUCAUUAAUGGCUGAUGUGGAUGGUUCCAGUCAUGGUGCUACCACCCUUGCACAGGGUUGUUAAGAGUCUCAGUUGGUGAGUGAAGAACAUUCACACCAUUCUUUCUAAGCUGUCUCCAUUGGGCAGAGGAGAAAGCUGUUCACGAAAAUGAAUGCCCAUUUUGGUAUCUGAAAUCAGUAUUUCCACAUUGUGAAAAUCACAUAUAUAUGGAAUGAGUGAUGAGGAUGACACAUGGCUGAUUUCAAUUUGGGAACUUAGGGAACAGUAAUGGAAGAACCUAAUAAAAGCAAUAGGAAAAGGACCCUCCAACUAGGGAAUGGUGCCACCCAAGGUGACCUGAGACUUCUCACACAAAUAAACAAUCAAAAUAAUUCCAAAAGACAUGCUCAUGUACAUCUACUUUAAUAAGGGUUUUUAAGUGCUUCAACCUCCAUUAUAGCCCACUGACCAAAGGUGCCAAUGGACUCUUUGGAUCAUAUAUACACGUGGUGAAAAAUAAUCCAGUUCCCAUGACUGGAUCAUCUUCAAAUAUGUGGCCAAUGGUAAAGUAUUCAAAGAUCUUUCAGUUGUCUUUGGUAAUAAUGAGAGGGGGCAACUAGCUUUGCUCUGCAAAUCUAUAUAUGCACAUGUGUCUUAGUCAGGGUUUCUAUUCCAGCACAAAACAUCAUGACCAAGAAGCAAGUUGGGGAAGAAAGGGUUUAUUCAGCUUACACUUCCACAUUGCUGUUCAUCACCAAAGGAAGUCAGGACUGGAACUCACACAGGGCAGGAAGCAGGAGCUGAUGCAGAGGCCAUGGAGGGAUGUUACUUACUGGCUUGCUUCCCCUGCCUCCGUCAGCUUGCUCUCAUAUAGAACCCAAGACCACCAGCCCAGAGAUGGCAUCACCUACAAUGGGCCUUCCAACCCUUGAUCACUAGUUCAGAAAUGCCUUACAGCUGAGUCUCAUGGAGGCAUUUCCUUAGCUCAGACUCCUUUCUCUGUGAUCACUCCAGCUUGUGUCAAGUUGACACACAAAUACAGCCAGUACCACACAUAACUAAGCAAAAGAAGAAAUUCACAUGCAUGAGACUCAUGUUACCUUUUUUGACACCCCUUGAAUAACAAAUAUCCCAAGAAGCGAGCUCCUGCACAUAUUCAUGCAAAGAUUUUGAAAUAUCAUUAAAGUCUGGCACCUCAGAUAGUAAGAAGUUAAUUUCCACCCAAGAGGUGAAGUACGCCAUUGUUUCGCAUUUUCUUUCUGAAGCUGUUUUAGAUAUUUUGUUUAUCAUUAUUUUAUUUGAAAAGUGACAAAAAAAUUUUGCCAGUCUAAAAUGCUGUUCAAUACUUUUUCGCAAUUGACAGGCUUAGCAUUUUUGGCUUGACUAUUUUUCAGUGAUAUUGUUGAUUAUUUUCAAUAAUAAUUUUGCUGAUAUGCAGUUAGUAUUUCUACAGCAGUAAAUUUGAAACUAGCCUUAGCAAGUGUAAACGUUUGAGAAUUUGAGAUUGACUUUAGUAAGCUCAGUGGUGUUUGAUUGCUCAGGGCUCCAUUGGCUCUGUCUUUUCUGAGUCAUCACAAGAGACCCAAGCAGCCCUGAUAUCACAAGGAGAGAGCCUAGGAUUGUUGAAGACAUUGUAUUUUGAAGAAAUCAACAAGAAAUAUUUUAUGUUUGCUUCAUUUAUAUUUAAAUAAUUUUAUUAGUUAAGUAUGUUGGGACCAUCUACUAGGCUUAUUACAAUUCCAAUGACUCUGAUUUACUCAGUAUGGAAUGAGCUUGAAGUUUGAAGAUGUAAAAACACAGUCACUGCUGUCUUGGUUCUGAGUUCUAUAAUUCAAUUAGCAAUGACAUCCAUCAUGUUCUUGUUUGUCUUCAGGUCUGUAGUUCAACAUCAGAGGGACUUGAAAAGAUGAAAUCAUUUGUAGUGUGUACACUUCUUGUUUUUUUUUUUCUAAUUUAAAUAUUUAACAUUGAUUGUGGGGGUCUCUUCCCUCCUUUGAACCAUGAGUUCUAGGAUUAAAAGCAGGCCAUUAGAAUUGUAGGCCUUACCUGUUACCUCCUUCCAGCCUAGCAAGGCUGGCUGAGACCAGAGGCCACUGAGGCAGAGUCACCUGCUGUGCUGCUUCUCAUCCCUCUCCUUUGAUGUGCCACUACCUGCCACCUGCCUGAGGAUGAACCACCUUGCCAAGAUCUUCAGGAGUUAACACCAAACUGUGAUCUUCACAAGUUCCUACUAAAAGGCUGAUCUGUCAACUUCAAAGGAACUUUGGGUGACUGGGAAUGGGCCUCCCCUCUUCUUUAUAAAGCACAUUUGCCUACAUUAAAGUUGAGUCUUGAUAAGAUUUA
rnacentral:lncRNA from 1 species